AGCAGAAUAGCUCAGUUGGAAAGAGCACUAGUUGCGCAAUCACUUAGAGGUCCUCGGUUUGAUUCCAGGUUCUGCCA